rnacentral:tRNA from 2 species
GGGUCCGUAGCUCAAUUGGUAGAGCAUCUCCCUCUUAAGGAGGUGGUUGUGAGUUCAAAUCUCACCGGACUCACAA